AUGGCUAAUAGGUCAUUUAAGGGAAAAAUUACUGAUGGCCAGAUAUGGGAAUCUUUCCGUUCAUUAAACUGUUGCAAAGAACUUUAUUAUUUUGUAUGAUGGACCAUUAACUUCACAGUAAUUCCAACUCCAAUUCCAACAACAUUUAUUUCCAUACUUUCCAAAUAACAAAUGAAAUUGUUAUAUACAUGAGGAUGGUAAGUAUAUGGGCUGUUCAGUUCAAAAGGAUUUCCAAAAUCUCCAAAUACCAAAAAUUGUAAAAACUGCAAGUGCACACAACAAUUCAGUAUGAUUUUUAUUGUUCAAACAUAUUUAGGGAACAUACUUCACAAAAAGUGUGUUCAAUAUUUCCAUGUUGACAAUUCGUAAUCGUAAGCAGAAACAAUUAGUUGUAAUUGAUUGUGCAACCAAUUGUAAGGACACUCACUCGGAAGCCCUGUUUGGAGGAUUUACAUCUUACACUUCCACAGCGAGAGCAUCACAUGUUCUCUUGUUGUGUCCAGUAUUUUGGCAGGUGCUACAUUUGACAUGCCACCUGGUUCUACAUAUGUACUUUUCCUGCAGCAAAUGCAGUCCGUACUGUUUAACCAUUAUCUGAGACAAGGAUUUGGGACCAAAGUUGGUGGAUCUAUGAUACCACUUUGUCACUAAAUCAUUGACUUUUUCCAAGCCCUGUUGACAAAAAUGUGAUAUAUUACCAUGUAACAUCAUGCAUUCGGGAACGUGGCAAGCUAACACGUGCAUGUAGGGGGUAAUAUCAGUACUGCAAUAUGUUUCAUAGUACAUUGACACCCACGCCUUUGCUUUUUCUUCAAACUCAUCAAUUUCACUUGAGCUCAGACUUUUCUCCAUUUCUUUCAUGAGUUGAGGAAAGACACUCCAAAGCCUUUUCAGUUGUUGUAACUUGGGAUGGGAAGGGAUUAACAAGUUAAGAUCUAUGCAUCCCAUUAGUCUCUUGCGUUCCGGUCCUCUGAAUGACUAGCCCUGGAGACAUGAGCACCUCUUGCCCACGCUCACCCGCAAGACGCUCAUCCCGCCUACGCAAACCACCCGCAUACCUUGAUGACUACUUGACUGAUUAUUGACACUGAUCCGUGACUGUGUGAACACUUGUAGUGUUUAGGACAAGAUAUAUAAUGCCUUCCUAUGGAGUGGCACAUUUGGGGCAGAAUAAUCCCUAGGGCUGGAGGGCAGUCUACCCCUAUGAAGGCCCAUUUUUUUUUCUUUAUGUAGCAUUAGAUUCCAUUUUGAUAUUAUAUGUUUAGCUUUGUUUCUUGUUUCAAUUGAGCGCAGCAACAAAAAGCCAUAUUCUUCGUUCUCCUUCUAAUAUAUUUAACUGUAAGAGGGACUCAUUGUUUCAGCUCUUUGCCUUGUUUCAAAAGAGAAAAAAAGAAGUCACACCAGUAGUAAUGAUUGUGCCCUCUUGUGUUCGUGACCUUUGACCGGCUUGUCUUCAUUCUAUCGUUUAUCGCUCAAUGUGCAUUCUCACCUUUGUUCAUUAAAGUUUCUUAUUAUAGUCCGGUAAGUCGAUUACAGUUGCGGUUAUUGUGUGUGUUGGAUUGAACUCUUGUCCUUACUGGCGCAGUGGUUAGACUUAGGCUGGGAGGUAGGAUUGUCAGGUAAUGAUUUGAUGGAUUUUGUCUGUGUGGGUGAACAUGCUGCAUGUGACAGUCGGGCCCAAGAAAUGGAAUUUACAGACAACAAGAGUUAAAGAUAUGAACAUGAAAUUUUGCAAACAAAAGUUCUCUUACAGACGAAACUGCAAACUGCUAAACAGGAAGCUGCUAGUGAUGCAGAUAGUCUAGACGGCAGUGAGAGUACUCAACCCCAACGAAGAGUCACACCAAAAACACCAAGGUUGCCGGUGUUUGACGAUAACAAGGAUGACGUUGAUGCCUAUAUUGCCAGAUUUGAAAGUCCUCAGUUGUCACUUUUCCUAAAGGGACGAAAGCCCACAACCAUCAACAAAAUGAUGGAACUCGCCCAGCGAUACGUAGAGGCACACAAGAAGAGUCUAUGGCGGACACCAUCGACCAAGCCAAACCAACAAUCAGGAGGAGGAAGUCAGCGUCAUCCUACCGAGGCCAGGUGCAAGAGCAGCUGAUAACCCAGAUCCUCAGUGGAAGCCCGUGGCUAACUUAACCGAAGAAGUAGAAAGAAAGAAUGGCAGUACAUAUGAGGUCACAAGCAGAGGAAGAAAGCGAGCCUCUUCAACCCUUGAAGGUAUCAUCAACCAUCCCCAACGUGACUCCAGAAGAGAUCCAAGAAAACAAGUUGUGUACUUACGCACGCACAGUGCCUGACCCGUGGGAUGAAGUACCGGUACUGAUGUUAGUAUAAAGGUAGUUAACCUACACUGUUAUGUAUUGCCUUGUACAGCGCUGUGUUCCUUAAAGGGCGCUAUAUAAAUGCCUAAUUGUAUUGUAUUGUAUUGUUAUUUGAAUAGACUCGACUCCUUGAACGUUUCACCAGAAUUCUUUAGGAACGCGUUCAACGCUGAGCAUAGUAACUUUUACCACGCAUGCCACUGUAAAGGUCCCAUAAUCCAUCCCCUUCACUAUCCAUGUCUCACUCUGAUGACUCAUCCCCUCAAGCUGACCAAGCUGAUCAUAUUCAUCCCUUUGACAAACUCUGCCAGUUGUAGAAGUUGACGGAAAACAAUUUGCAACCUGACGCCACUUCCGCGAUACAAAGUCAAGAAAUUUUUGUAAGUAUUUCUUAACAAAAUUGGAAAUG
rnacentral:lncRNA from 1 species